CCCUAUGGGGCGCAGCAGGCCAUCCUGGAAGAACUGGAACUGCAGUUGAAGCUCAACCCUACAAUGGAGAGUUACUUUAAAGGGAACCAUGGCGAGCAUUUCUUCGUGAAAAACCUGGAAACAAUCCAGGGAGAUGAAAGAGAUGUAAUAAUGGUUAGUGUGGGUUAUGGAUUUGAUUCGGAAGGUAAUUUAAGCCAUAACUUCGGACCGGUUAACCAGGAUGGGGGAGAAAGACGUUUGAACGUUCUACUAACAAGGGCCAGGGAGAAAUGUUUGAUAUUUUCCAAUUUCAGGGGCCGGGACCUUCAAUUAAGUUCUAGUGCGCCUUUUGGUCUUCGUGCUCUUAAGGAAUUCCUGGAAUAUGCAGAGAAGAAAACUCUGACCCAACAGGAUCUAGGUCAGAACAAUGCGGAUGAUGCCGGUGAAGAGC
rnacentral:rRNA from 1 species